rnacentral:rRNA from 1 species
GAUGAACGCUGGCGGCGUGCCUAAUACAUGCAAGUCGAGCGAACAGACGAGGAGCUUGCUCCUCUGACGUUAGCGGCGGACGGGUGAGUAACACGUGGAUAACCUACCUAUAAGACUGGGAUAACUUCGGGAAACCGGAGCUAAUACCGGAUAAUAUAUUGAACCGCAUGGUUCAAUAGUGAAAGACGGUUUUGCUGUCACUUAUAGAUGGAUCCGCGCCGCAUUAGCUAGUUGGUAAGGUAACGGCUUACCAAGGCAACGAUGCGUAUCCGACCUGAGAGGGUGAUCGGCCACACUGGAAAUGAGACAAGGUCCAGACUCCUAAGGGAGGCAGCAGUAGGGAAUCUUCCGCAAUGGGCGAAAGCCUGACGGAGCAACGCCGCGUGAGUGAUGAAGGUCUUCGGAUCGUAAAACUCUGUUAUUAGGGAAGAACAAAUGUGUAAGUAACUAUGCACGUCUUGACGGUACCUAAUCAGAAAGCCACGGCUAACUACGUG